rnacentral:lncRNA from 1 species
CAGACAUGCACAGAGAGAUGACUAUAUGAAGAGACCCAGGGAGAACGCCAUGGGAAGAUGAAGGCAGAGAUCAGGAUGAUGAAUCUACAAGUCAAGGCAUGCCAAAUAUUGCCAGCAAACCACUAGAAGCUAGGACAGAGGCGUGGAACAGAUUCUCCCUCACAGCCCUCAGAAGGAACCACCCCUGCGACAGCUUGAUUUCAGACUGCUAGCCUCUGGAAACAACUAAUAAAAAAGCUUGUUUGGGGCAAUGAAGAGGUGAAAGCACACGUGAGUAAGCAAGAAAAUUGACCUAGAGGAAGUGAUCAAUCUAAACAGCAGAGAAGUAGUGCUUCUGGAAAAAUCUUCAUCACACUCAUUCGCUUUGCAGUAAUGAAGUGGAAAAGGCACCUUAUCAAGACAAGAAACAGUGCUGGUUGGCACCAUGCUGUUAUGUGUCUGCUUACCUGAAUGGUAAUAGCUUUGAAGAUUUUAAGUCUCUGAGCAAUCCAAAUCCUUUCGAAGUUGAAGAAUAUCUUUUUCUCGACAAACAGAAGCAUCCUUUUUAUGUUAAUACAGUCAUGCUAAGAAACAAUGACAGAAUAGUUGGUAUGGGAGUAAUGCCCUGAAAGAGAUGAGUCACUGUCUGAGGCAGAAACCGGAAAGCGUAAAGCUCCCUGUGGGGAAUACAACAAAGACGUGGGAACCAUCAUAGGACGAUCGACGUUGCCUCUGCCAUCACCUGGGUUUGUGAAUGGCUUCAUCAGCACUUCAUGCUAACACUAUUAAAUAUGAAGUGUCAAGCUCGGCACUCACAGAAGGUGACCUGGACUAGAGCCAGGCCCCCAGCUGAGCCUGUGAUGAGCAUCCAGGAGCUGCUCAAAUGAGGGAUCAAUGACUUGCAAGUUUACCAGGCAGAAUAAUGAAUAGAAGUGGGACAACUGCAAGCAAAAUUGGCAUGAGAAAUGAGGGUACUGAGAGAGUGGCCAAGAGUAGGGCACAGCUGCAGAAAGUUGAGGAACUAGCCCGCUAGAAUCUGACCUGGGAGGUACAAACACAGUGCGGAAAACUUGGUAGUCCUAUGAGGAUUUCGGGGGCAGAGAAAAUACUCUGUAUGAUACCAUAAAGAUGAAUACAUGUCUUUAAACGUUUGUCCAAACCCAUAGAAUGUACAACACCUCUCUGGCGGGGCAUGUUGAUAAUGGGGGAGAUUAUGUUUGUGACGGGCCAGGAAAUCUCUGCACUUUUCCCUCAAUUUUGCUGUGAACCUAAAAUUGCUCUAAAAAUAAAUGAAGUCAAUAAAAAAAUGUUUUUGUAAGGAAUAAAGACACUAAGAUGUUUAUAUGAGCGAUCAUUUUGGUUAGUUUCAAUACAAUGCUAUCUAAAAGAUAUGGCUAGUUGUAUACUUGCAUCUUCUGCUAAAAUGAUAUUUGAACACCUCCAAGGCUAUAAGCUUGCAUGACCAGGAUGAGAAUAGAGCCUAUUGAGAAGCACAAGGAAGAUGAGUUGGAAGGUGAACUGGAAGAUGAGUUGGUUGUAGAGGAAAGAUUAUGAUUUCUACUUAGAAGGACUUUCUAUCUCAAAUAUUUAUACCACUAAAAGAAUGCUGAAUGUUAAUAAUGACAUUUAAUGUUAUAGUAGUAUUAAAAUAGAGUUGCUGUAUUUUUCUUAGAGAGUAAUAAAAGUUGAUAAGGAUUUUGAGACACACUUCUAUUUCUCAUUUAAUUGCACUCUUUGUAUCCACACCAGCCCGUCAAUGUAAGAUAAGAGAAAACACAGGUUUGUAUUACCCAGUUGGAUGCUACGCUGAUAUUUACUAAUAGAACUCUGCUGAUACAGAAGUAGAUAGUAAAAUAAGUU